rnacentral:rRNA from 1 species
AUUGAACGCUGGCGGCAGGCCUAACACAUGCAAGUCGAACGAGUGGCGGACGGGUGAGUGGUGUCUGGGCAACUGCCUGAUGGAGGGGGAUAACUACUGGAAACAGUAGCUAAUACCGCAUACCAUCGGAUGUGCCCCGUGGGAAUUAGCUAGUAGGUGGGGUAACGGCUCACCUAGGCGACGCUCCCUAGCUGGCCUGAGAGGAUGACCAGCCACACUGGAACUGAGACACGGUCCAGACUCCUACGGGAGGCAGCAGUGGGGAAUAUUGCACAAUGGGCGCAAGCCGGAUGCAGCCAUGCCGCGUGUAUGAAGAAGGCCUUCGGGUUGUAAAGUACUUUCAGCGAGGAGGCGUUACUCGCAGAAGAAGCACCGGCUAACUCCGUGCCAGCAGCCGCGGUAAUAC